rnacentral:rRNA from 1 species
CUUCGGGAAACCGAGGCUAAUACCGCAUAAUACCCACGGGUCAAAGGAGCAAUUCGCUUGAGGAGGGGGUCGCGGCCCGAUUAGUUAGUUGGCGGGGUAAUGGCCCCACCAAGACGGUGAUCGGUAUCCGGCCUGAGAGGGCGCACGGACACACUGGAACUGAAACACGGUCCAGACUCCUACGGGAGGCAGCAGUGGGGAAUUUUGCGCAAUGGGGGAAACCCUGACGCAGCAACGCCGCGUGGAGGAUGAAGUCUCUUGGGACGUAAACUCCUUUCGAUCGGGACGAUUAUGACGGUACCGGAAGAAGAAGCCCCGGCUAACUUCGUG